rnacentral:rRNA from 1 species
UACGUAGGGGCCAAGCGUUGUCCGGAUUUAUUGGGCGUAAAGCGCACGUAGGCGGUUCGUUAUGUCGGAUGUGAAAGCCCUUGGCUUAACCGAGGAAGUGCAUCCGAAACUGGCGAGCUAGAGUACGAAAGAGGAUCGCGGAAUUCCCGGUGUAGAGGUGAAAUUCGUAGAUAUCGGGAGGAACACCGGUGGCGAAGGCGGCGAUCUGGGUCGAUACUGACGCUGAGGUGCGAAAGCGUGGGGAGCAAACAGG